rnacentral:rRNA from 1 species
AACGAACGCUGGCGGCAUGCCUAACGCAUGCAAGUCGAACGAGACCUUCGGGUCUAGUGGCGCACGGGUGCGUAACGCGUGGGAACCUGCCCUUAGGUUCGGAAUAACUCCCCGAAAGGGGUGCUAAUACCGGAUAAUGUCUUCGGACCAAAGAUUUAUCGCCUUUGGAUGGGCCCGCGUUGGAUUAGCUAGUUGGUAGGGUAAAAGCCUACCAAGGCGACGAUCCAUAGCUGGUCUGAGAGGAUGAUCAGCCACACUGGGACUGAGACACGGCCCAGACUCCUACGGGAGGCAGCAGUGGGGAAUAUUGGACAAUGGGCGAAAGCCUGAUCCAGCAAUGCCGCGUGAGUGAUGAAGGCCUUAGGGUUGUAAAGCUCUUUUACCCGGGAUGAUAAUGACAGUACCGGGAGAAGAAGCUCCGGCUAACUCCGUG